rnacentral:rRNA from 1 species
AUUGAACGCUGGCGGAAUGCUUUACACAUGCAAGUCGAACGGCAGCACGGACUUCGGUCUGGUGGCGAGUGGCGAACGGGUGAGUAAUACAUCGGAACGUGCCCAGUCGUGGGGGAUAACGUAGCGAAAGUUACGCUAAUACCGCAUACGAUCUACGGAUGAAAGCGGGGGACCGUAAGGCCUCGCGCGAUUGGGGCGGCCGAUGUCAGAUUAGGUAGUUGGUGAGGUAAAGGCUCACCAAGCCAACGAUCUGUAGCUGGUCUGAGAGGACGACCAGCCACACUGGAACUGAGACACGGUCCAGACUCCUACGGGAGGCAGCAGUGGGGAAUUUUGGACAAUGGGCGAAAGCCUGAUCCGGCCAUUCCGCGUGCAGGAUGAAGGCCCUCGGGUUGUAAACUGCUUUUGUACAGAACGAAAAGGUUUCUACUAAUACUAGGAGCUCAUGACGGUACUGUAAGAAUAAGCACCGGCUAACUACGUGCCAGCAGCCGCCGUAA